CUAUCUAUCUACUGGGAUGGUGUUUUUACUACUAUCAUUCUAUUUUUAAAGAAGGCCUGUGGGCAUUGGACUAUGGGUUUUCUACAGGAAUAGGCAGGUUUUGAAUAGGAACUGCACUAGUUAUAAUACAUUCACAAUGUACAAACUAGGCUGCUUCAUUUGUGAGCCUGUAAGAUCAGCUACAGUUAACUAGUUUCUAUCCUGUAUAUGCAGUUUGAAAAAAAUUCUGUUUUUCUGCAAGUAGAUUUCUCGGUUUUGCAUCCAGAGUCCUCCAGCAAGUUAGCAGAUAAAUGGAACCCGUUCUUUUCUGAAAAAUACAUUUGCAUGGCCAAGAAGGAGAAGACUGCAGACCUUCUCAUGAACAUAGACAAUCUCUCAGCAGAAAAAUGAGGAGAUGUGGCUUUGCAGCUGCUGCCCAUGCUGAUCCCACCAAGUGUAUAAAGUUCGGAGGAGAGUCAGGCCUACCACAGUUGAUGAGCCUAUUGGAACGAACAUUGAUGAGUAUCUCACAUAAGCAAAGGCGGAGUACCCAUUUGUAAUGUACUGUUUUAUCCACCGUUUUUUUGACUUGAUGCUACUUCUCGGCCGUUUAAGUUAGAGGCCAUAUCUUGGAGAAUCUAGUUUUACCAUUUUAUAAUGACUUUAUUUUUAAGAAAUAAAUGGAGAAAAAUGUCAUGUAAAUGAAAAUAUCAAUAAAAGAAUGAUUGAAA